AUGAGUUUGUGGUACAGACUUAUUUAUGUAAGCAAUUUUAGUAAAGUGGUUCAGUAAAAAGCGAUAGUUCACCAUCACUUCUUCAACGAAUUUCCUUCUUAAAUACAUGCCCAUAAGUACAUGCUGGCAAACAGACCCUCUAUCGCCAAAGGCGGUUUUUAUCUUAAUGAAGGAAAUACAAAUGUCUAAUAAAGUAACUGGUUUGGUAAAAUGGUUUGACGCAGGAAAAGGGUUUGGAUUUAUCACUCCAGCUGAUGGCAGCAAAGAUGUCUUUGUUCAUUUUUCUGCCAUUCAGAGCAAUGAUUUCAAAACCUUAGACGAAGGUCAGCGUGUAGAAUUCACCAUUGAGCAAGGCCAGAAAGGCCCAUCUGCUGCUAAUGUGGUUGCCCUGUAAACUCUCUACUGAGUUCAAAAUAAUGUUUUCAGCGGAGUGUGAAAGCCCCAUUUUU
rnacentral:sRNA from 1 species